AGUAGAGUAAGCUAAGUAAAAGCUGACGGGCUCAUGCCCCGUUGAUGGCAACAAGAGUUGUCCCCUAUUA
rnacentral:tRNA from 1 species